UACGUAGGGGGCAAGCGUUGUCCGGAUUUAUUGGGCGUAAAGAGCGUGUAGGCGGCCUUACAGGUCAGCUGUGAAAACUCGAGGCUCAACCUCGAGACGUCGGUUGAAACCGUAAGGCUAGAGUCCGGAAGAGGAGAGUGGAAUUCCACGUGUAGCAGUGAAAUGCGCAGAUAUCAGGAGGAACACCUAUUGCGAAGGCAGCUCGCUGGGACGUUACUGACGCUGAGACGCGAAAGCGUGGGGAGCAAACAGG
rnacentral:rRNA from 1 species